rnacentral:rRNA from 1 species
GCCUUGCCACGCCCGCUCAGAAACUUAAAGGAAUUGACGGGGGCCCGCACAAGCAGCGGAGCAUGUGGUUUAAUUCGAAGCAACGCGAAGAACCUUACCAAGACUUGACAUCCCCUGACAGCUGUUGAAAGGCAGUGUCUCUUCGGAGCAGGGAGACAGGUGGUGCAUGGUUGUCGUCAGCUCGUGUCGUGAGAUGUUGGGUUAAGUCCCGCAACGAGCGCAACCCUUAUCCUUAGUUACCAGCACGUAAAGGUGGGGACUCUAGGGAGACCGCCGGGGACGACUCGGAGGAAGGUGGGGACGACGUCAAAUCAUCAUGCCCCUUAUGUCUUGGGCUACACACGUGCUACAAUGGCCGCAACAGAGGGAAGCGAGAGCGCAAGCUGGAGCAAAACCCUAAAAAGCGGUCCCAGUUCGGAUUGUGGGCUGCAACCCGCCCACAUGAAGUCGGAGUUGCUAGUAAUCGCGAAUCAGCAUGUCGCGGUGAAUGCGUUCCCGGGCCUU